UACGUAGGGAGCGAGCGUUGUCCGAAGUUACUGGGCGUAAAGCGCGCGUAGGCGGGCUGUUAAGUGAGAGGUGAAAGGCUGGGGCUCAACCCCAUGCAGUGCCUCUCAUACUGGCGGUCUUGAAUUCGGCAGGGAGAAGUGGAAUGGCUGGUGUAGCGGUGAAAUGCGUAGAUAUCGUGAGGAAGACCAGUGGCGAAGGCAGCUCGCUGGGACGUUACUGACGCUGAGACGCGAAAGCGUGGGGAGCAAACAGG
rnacentral:rRNA from 1 species